rnacentral:rRNA from 1 species
GAAAGUAAAGAAGGGCGCAUGGCGGAUGCCUUGGCUCUCGGAGGCGAUGAAGGACGUGAUAAGCUGCGAUAAGCUUUGGGGAGGUGCAAAUGACCUUUGAUCCAGAGAUUUCCGAAUGGGACAACCCAAUAUCUUGAAGAGGUAUUAUCUUACUAUGUAAGAGGCUAACGCAGGGAACUGAAACAUCUUAGUACCUGCAGGAAAAGAAAAUAAACAAUGAUUCCCCUAGUAGUGGCGAGCGAACGGGGAACAGCCCAAACCAUCCAUGUUACGGCAUGGGUGGGGUUGUAGGACUACGCCGUUGCAUGAAGACAUCAGAGAAGAACUUUCUGGAAAGAAAGACCAUAGAGCAUGACAGUUGCGUAUUCGAAUGUUGUCGAAGCAUAGUAGUAUCCUGAGUAGCGCGGAGCACGAGGAAUUCUGCGUGAAUCUGCCGGGACCAUCCGGUAAGGCUAAAUACUCCCGAGAGACCGAUAGCGAACCAGUACCGUGAGGGAAAGGUGAAAAGCACUUCGAACAGAAGAGUGAAAUAGUUCCUGAAACCGUGCGCCUACAAGCGGUCGGAGCUCGUUAAUGAGUGACGGCGUGCCUUUUGCAUAAUGAACCUACGAGUUGCCUUUGCCGGCAAGGUUAAGUGUGACGACACACGUAUCCGAAGCGAAAGCGAGUCUGAAGAGGGCGUAUAGUCGGCAGUGGCAGACGCGAAACCAAGUGAUCUACCCUUGGCCAGGUUGAAGGCUGGGUAACACCAGCUGGAGGACCGCACCAAUAAGCGUUGAAAAGCUUCUGGAUGAGCUGAGGGUAGGGGUGAAAGGCUAAUCAAACUUGGAGAUAGCUCGUACUCCCCGAAAUGCAUUUAGGUGCAGCCUUGCGGGUUACUGAUGUGAGGUAGAGCGACUGAUAAGAUGCGAGGGCUUCACCGCCUAUCAAGUCUUGACAAACUCCGAAUGCGCAUCAGUUCUACCGCAGGAGUGAGGGCAUGGGUGCUAAGGUCCGUGCCCGAGAGGAGAAGAAUCCGGACCACCUGCUAAGGUCCCGAAAUGACAGCUAAGUUAAACUAACGAAGUCUGACUGCUAAGACAGCUAGGAUGUUGGCUUGGAAGCAGCCAUUCAUUUAAAGAGUGCGUAACAGCUCACUAGUCGAGGAGUCGGGCGUGGAUAAUAAUCGGGUAUCAAGUUGUCUACCGAAGCAGUGGGAUCAUUUAUAUGAUCGGUAGGGGAGCAUUCCAGUCAGCGUCGAAGGCGUACCGUGAGGUAUUCUGGAGCGUCUGGAAAAGCAAAUGUAGGUAUAAGUAACGAUAAAGGGGGCGGGAAACCCCCUCGCCGAAAGACUAAGGUUUCCUGAUCAACGCUAAUCGGAUCAGGGUCAGUCGGGUCCUAAGGCUCAGCCGAACGGCGAUGCCGAUGGCAGAAACGGUUAAUAUUCCGUUACUACCUUCAGGAGUGACGUGGAGACGCAGUAGUGACAGUGCCGCCAUCUGACGGAAUAGAUGGUUGAAGGGUGUAGGAGUCGAUCAUGGCAGGCAAAUCCACCAUGAGAUCCGAACCUGACAGUAUGCCGCGUCCUUCGGGACAAGGCAAUAGUGCGCGUAAGCAUGCUGCCGAGAAAAUCCGCUAAACUUAAUCCUGCAGGUACCCGUACCGCAAACGGACACACGUAGUCGGGAUGAAUAUUCUAAGGCGCUUGAGUGAUUCACGGUUAAGGAACUAGGCAAACUGACCCUGUAACUUCGGGAUAAAGGGUCCCUACCCUUUUAUGGGAGGGCGCAGAGAAUCGGUCCAGGCAACUGUUUAACAAAAACACAGGGCUGUGCCAAAUCGAAAGAUCCAGUAUACAGCCUGACACCUGCCCGGUGCUGGAAGGUUAAGAGGAGAUGUCAUCGAUAAGAGAAGCGUUGAAUUGAAGCCCCAGUAAACGGCGGCCGUAACUAUAACGGUCCUAAGGUAGCGAAAUUCCUUGUC